AUUAUAUAAAUCAAAUCAUAAAGGUUAUUCUGAUUAAUUUUUCGAAUUAUUUUAUAAUUAAAGGCGUUAAGAAACCUUUGGUGACCCCACAGUUUAAAUGUCUAUCGUAGGUACGUCGUGAACAGUGGUUGUUACAGACAAACGUUCACGUAAAUUGUCUCAGUCAAUGGAUGAAUUUAAUGUGUCAAUCAAUGGCCACAGCCACACUGUUUUGAAUUUCAUUCUA
rnacentral:lncRNA from 1 species